UACGUAGGGCGCAAGCGUUGUCCGGAAUUAUUGGGCGUAAAGAGCUCGUAGGUGGUGUGUCGCGUCUGCCGUGAAAGCCCGGGGCUUAACUCCGGGUCUGCGGUGGAUACGGGCAGACUAGAGGCAGGUAGGGGAGAACGGAAUUCCCGGUGUAGCGGUGAAAUGCGCAGAUAUCGGGAGGAACACCAGUGGCGAAGGCGGCCUUCUGGACCAGCACUGACGCUGAGGCGCGAAAGCUAGGGGAGCAAACAGG
rnacentral:rRNA from 1 species